UACGUAGGGUGCGAGCGUUGUCCGGAAUUAUUGGGCGUAAAGAGCUCGUAGGCGGUGUGUCGCGUCGGUCGUGAAAACUUGGGGCUUAACCCUGAGCUUGCGGUCGAUACGGGCAUCACUGGAGUUCGGCAGGGGAGACUGGAAUUCCUGGUGUAGCGGUGAAAUGCGCAGAUAUCAAGGAGGAACACCGGUGGCGAAGGCGGGUCUCUGGGCCGAUACUGACGCUGAGGAGCGAAAGCGUGGGGAGCGAACAGG
rnacentral:rRNA from 1 species